CUUCACCGACCCCAGCAGCAGGGGGCGUUCGGGGUCGCGGUCCUGGCCGUAGGUGGCCAGCAGCGCCUGGGCCUC
rfam:Streptomyces sp. NBRC 110611 DNA, contig: scaffold00045.